UACGUAGGGUGCGAGCGUUAAUCGGAAUUACUGGGCGUAAAGCGUGCGCAGGCGGUGAUGUAAGACAGAUGUGAAAUCCCCGGGCUCAACCUGGGAACUGCAUUUGUGACUGCAUCGCUGGAGUGCGGCAGAGGGGGAUGGAAUUCCGCGUGUAGCAGUGAAAUGCGUAGAUAUGCGGAGGAACACCGAUGGCGAAGGCAAUCCCCUGGGCCUGCACUGACGCUCAUGCACGUAAGCGUGGGGAGCAAACAGG
rnacentral:rRNA from 1 species